rnacentral:lncRNA from 1 species
GGAGCCAAGAGGAAGGACUUUGGGGCUUCUCCAAAGCCAGUGUCUAUUUUCAGAAGGGAACAAAACACUCACCCAAAAGCAUGUGUCAUCCGGCUGAUUCUCUAUAAUAUCCUGGGUGAAUCAGACAUGUUCCAGCAUUUCUGCUAAAUGUCAUCUCAGAAGAGGGGCAGUCAGGCAAAGGAAAGAGCUAAAGCAUUGACAUGAUGAGGAGGAGAGAAGAGAAAGAAUUCAGAACAUGAAACACGUGGCAGGACCCACAGGUUAAAUGGUCGUUGUUCCAGGAGGUCUUCCACAUCCUUCAAAGAAUGAGAUAACUGGAGUGUGGCUGACGCAUUCCAUCUACCCACUCUUUCCUUCCAGGUACGUACCCUGUAGUUUUCUUUUACCCUUUGGUACAGUGACCCUCCAGCCUUGAGAAAUCUCUGGAAGAGGAGUAUCUAUAGUUCACAUGGGCUCUCAAACUCUAGGGACUCAUGGCAAACUCUCCAAAAGCCCCUCACCAUGCUCCUCUU